GGGACUGAGAACAUUAAAUAUCUUCUCCAACUCCAUGAUCCAGUAUUCAGCUAAUAUCGGGCCGGUUGCUCCAGCAAAUGAUGGUGAGUUCAUUCUCUUAAAUCUUUCAAUGAGUUUUCUAUUAUUUUCCUCCAUUGACUUGGUGUUAUUGGUACUAGCAUUAUUACCGUUUGUAGCACUUUGGCUAUGGAUUACGUGUGAGUUACCACUGUGGCCAAGCCUUCGACUAUACAC
rnacentral:lncRNA from 1 species